rnacentral:rRNA from 1 species
GAUGAACGCUGGCGGCGUGCCUAAUCCAUGCAAGUCGAACGGAGACGAUAGCAAUAUUGUCUUAGUGGCGAACGGGUGAGUAACGCGUUGGUGACCUGCCCCGAAGCGGGGGAUAACAGACCGAAAGGUUUGCUAAUACCGCAUAAUUUGUCGAGAGUUAGAGAGCUUGACAAGAAAGCCGAAAGGCACUUUGGGAGGGGCCUGCGUCCCAUCAGCUAGUUGGUAAGGUAACGGCUUACCAAGGCGAUGACGGGUAGGGGACCUGAGAGGGUGGCCCCCCACAAUGGAACUGAAACACGGUCCAUACACCUACGGGUGGCUG